AAAUGACUCACCUGUCUGUUUCAACCAACUACUGUGUAUGAGGGGGUAUAUGAGGAUACUUAAUUAUCAGUAUCUCUUCAGACCAAGUAAAAGGAUUUUAUUUCUUUCAUAUCUUCCAUGGUAGCUAAACUAAAGUGCUAACCCAGGAAAUGAAAGGACAAGCAGUCAUAAGUUGCCAUAUGUGCAGAACAUGGUGAUAUAGAAACAGUCAACUUUCUGCAAGAUCUUUUGUACACAAAAUUUGGAUUGAAUUGGAAGCCCCUGGCAGGAAUGUUUCAACAGCAU